GACUAUAACGCUCCGUUUCAUCCGUUGUAAUCUUAGCUACUGCCUGGAAGCCUGCGGUGCAGUUGGCUGUAAGGCCAGCGGAACAUUAAAUGCCUUACGGACUAGACUGUUAUUUGCUUUCAAGUUUUUCAGUAAAUAAUUUAGGCCACGGCUGACAAAUCUUAAUCUCCCUCUAUUGAAACAUAAGUUAUAGUCCACCCAAUACACAG
rnacentral:snoRNA from 1 species